AUUGAACGCUGGCGGCAUGCCUAACACAUGCAAGUCGAACGAGUGGCGGACGGGUGAGUAAUGUCUGGGCAACUGCCUGAUGGAGGGGGCUAACUACUGGAAACGGUAGCUAAUACCGCAUACCAUCAGAUGUGCCCAGAUGGGAUUAGCUUGUGGGUGGGGUAACGGCUAACCAAGGCGACGAUCCCUAGCUGGUCUGAGAGGAGGACAGGCCACACUGGAACGGAGACACGGUCCAGACUCCUACGGGAGGCAGCAGUGGGGAAUAUUCCACAAUGGGCGAAAGCCUGAUGCAGCAAUGCGGCGUGAAUGAAGAAGGCCUUCGGGUUGUAAAGUACUGUCAGCGGGGAGGCGUUACCCACAGAAGAAGCACCGGCUAACUCCGUGCCAGCAGCCGCGGUAAUAC
rnacentral:rRNA from 1 species